UGCUGGGAGGUGAUUGCUUGCAGAUUGCAGGAUAAGCUACAAAUGACAGUAGGGAAAGAAUCAAGAUCCUCACACCCCUGCAAGCUACUUCCUGAAGGUGCCCAGAGCAUCCCGUCCAGUUCAGCAAUGACUCUCCAAAUGGCAAUGAGGCCCAGCCCUCCUGGCUCCACCAGAGAGGGCCCGGGAAACUGAGGCUCAAGUACGAUUCUUCUGGGACUGGAGAGCUUGUUCAGUGGCUUAGAGCACUGGCUGCACUUCCAGAGGACUCGGGUUCAAUUCCCAGCACCCACAUGGUGGUCACCAGUUCCAGGGGAUCAAGCAUCAUCUUCUGAUGCUGCAGGGUCCUAGGCACGCAUCUGGUUCUCAGGCACACAUGCAGGGAAAACACUCAUGAAAACCUCUCAAAGCCAAUUCUUACUAAUGCUGUAAGUGGCACUUAAGUACUUUAGUGAAAUACUACUUUUAGUUUUUCCUUGCUCUUGUUUUGAUAGUAUCUAUUUCUUGGAGUUCAUAAUUAGACCUGCGAUGUGGCUCAAAUUAACCAGGACAAC